GGCCGCGGGAAUUCGAUUCAGGCCUAACACAUGCAAGUCGAGGGGUAGGGUUACUUCGGUAACCUGAGACCGGCGCACGGGUGCGUAACGCGUAUGCAAUCUACCUUAUACUAAGGGAUAGCCCAGAGAAAUUUGGAUUAAUACCUUAUAGUAUAUAAGAAUGGCAUCAUUUUUAUAUUAAAGAUUUAUUGGUAUAAGAUGAGCAUGCGUCCCAUUAGUUAGUUGGUAAGGUAACGGCUUACCAAGACUAUGAUGGGUAGGGGUCCUGAGAGGGAGAUCCCCCACACUGGUACUGAGACACGGACCAGACUCCUACGGGAGGCAGCAGUGAGGAAUAUUGGUCAAUGGAGGCAACUCUGAAAGAGCCAUGCCGCGUGCAGGAUGACGGUCCUAUGGAUUAAAGGUGCUUUUGUACGGGAAGAAAAAAAGUUACGUGUAAUUUAUGAC
rnacentral:rRNA from 1 species